AUUGAACGCUGGCGGCAGGCCUAACACAUGCAAGUCGAGCGGAUGAAGGGAGCUUGCUCCUGGAUUCAGCGGCGGACGGGUGAGUAAUGCCUAGGAAUCUGCCUGGUAGUGGGGGAUAACGUCCGGAAACGGGCGCUAAUACCGCAUACGUCCUGAGGGAGAAAGUGGGGGAUCUUCGGACCUCACGCUAUCAGAUGAGCCUAGGUCGGAUUAGCUAGUUGGUGGGGUAAAGGCCUACCAAGGCGACGAUCCGUAACUGGUCUGAGAGGAUGAUCAGUCACACUGGAACUGAGACACGGUCCAGACUCCUACGGGAGGCAGCAGUGGGGAAUAUUGGACAAUGGGCGAAAGCCUGAUCCGGCCAUGCCGCGUGUGUGAAGAAGGUCUUCGGAUUGUAAAGCACUUUAAGUUGGGAGGAAGGGCAGUAAGUUAAUACCUUGCUGUUUUGACGUUACCAACAUAAUAAGCACCGGCUAACUUCGUG
rnacentral:rRNA from 1 species